GAAAGUGAGAGCUGAAAAAACAGGAGGGAGAAGAAGAAGAAAAAGAGAAAUUUGAAAGGGACACUGGAAACAGCGUCUGGAGGAACCGCACCACCUGACCUAGGGCCUUGGCCAUUGAAAGGAGGCUCGUUCCCAGCCUGAGCAGCGGGAAAACACACCUGGCCCUGGUGCCCCGGCUACGUCUUGUGUUUGCUGCAGGGCUCCCAGCCUCCAGAGUUGUCCUGAUGAGACAUGAGUGUGAAGUCGAAAGAGAAAGAUUAGACAAGACAUACUGAAAUGCUCCAAAUGAGUGUCCUCUUCUAGGCAACGUGUACCUUUGCUCCUAAUACUUUGCUCUUAUUCAUCAAGAACACAUGUGAACCGGCCUGGCUCCAUCCUCUCACUCUGCAGCUGGGAGCUCUUGAGGAAACUGGCUUACCUCUCUGAGCCUUCUUUCUUUCAUCUGAAAAAUGAGGUUAAUAAUAACAAAGACCUCAGAGGAUUGCUGUGAUGAUCAAAUCACACAAAUAUAAAAACGUGCUCAUACAAAUCAGUUAUUCUUUCAUUGUACAGGGAAUUGCAUUCGGAGACUCUCAACGUCUUCAGUGGUUCUGUUUCAUUUUCAAGUAGAAAUUUGGUUUCUGCAAUAGCCAACUGUCAUAUGAUUCUGGGACUAGUGAAUAAUGUGUGUGAUUUAGCAGAGCAACUGUAUUUUUACUUUUUUUAAUGGAGUGAUCUCUCAUAAAUACUGAGACUGGUUCCAUAUGUGAUGUGAACAUUGACCUCAACCCAUUGGAUCUCUAUUCAAAUUAUAUACAGAAGCCGAUCACUUCUCAGUAUCUCCUCUGCUACCACCUGUUCGAACUGACACCAUCAUCAUCUUUCUCCAGGAUUAUUGAAAAUAGCCUCCUAACUGGUGGUCCUACUUCACUAUUGCCAUAAAGAUAUUUUGAGCAAUGGUAGCAUCGCUGGCAUAAAUGUAUCAUCUCCCCAGAGGAGUGCUUUGACCAUCAUUAUUUAAAUAUUCACUUACUCAACAAAUAUUUAUGGAGCCUCUACCAUACAGCCAGCACCGUGCCAGGCUCUGGCAAUAUAUCAAUAAGGAAAACAGAUACAGAUCCCUGCCUCAUAGAAUGUGCAUUCUUGAGAGGCGCAGUGACCAUUACACAAAUAAACAAGCAACGUAUGGCCUUUGCCAGAUGGUGGUGGGCAUGGUGGAGAAAAAUAAUGGGGAGAAAGGGGGAAAAGAGCACAGGGAGUAGUGGUUGUUAUUUUAAACAUGGUGGCUGGUGGAGGUGGGGCAGAUAUCAGGAGUUUAGUUUAGGGAAUUGUAAAUUUGAUAUGCUUACUAGGUACCCAAAUGGAGAUGUCAGGUAAGACUUUCUUUUAGAAGAGUCUGGAAUUCAGAGGAGAGUUCUGGGCUAGAAAUAAAAGAUGUAUAGAUAGUUUCAAGAGGACUGGCUGAGGUCAUUGCUGGAAAGAAUGUGGAGAAGAGUUUCAAGGACUGAAUCUGUGACAAUCAGGCCAAUGAGUAGAAGCCAGGGUGAUGAGAAGGACCAGAAAUGAGAGUGAAAAGUGGCCAGGAAAGUGAGAGGAAAACUUACGGAGUGUAGUGGCCUGCAUGUUAUAGGAAGCAAGUAUUUCAACAAGUUCAAGUGCAUUUGCUACAAAGCCACCUUGUCACAUGUUACCACCAGGUAUCCACUGUGGAGGAGGAGAUACUGGCUCCCACGGAACAUGCCAAAUUUUGGUUCCUUUAUGGGUGAAUGAUUGCCACAGUUAAAGAUGGUCCAGCGAUUGAAAUUUAUUAUUUUGUUUAUAUAUACCUUUGAGCUGAUAAUGACUUUUGCAACCAAAAAAUACAGCAUUGACACAGUAAUCAUUGA